rnacentral:rRNA from 1 species
GACGAACGCUGGCGGCGUGCCUAGUACAUGCAAGUUGAGCGCUGAAGGUUGGUACUUGUACCAACUGGAUGAGCAGCGAACGGGUGAGUAACGCGUGGGGAAUCUGCCUUUGAGCGGGGGACAACAUUUGGAAACGAAUGCUAAUACCGCAUAAAAACUUUAAACACAAGUUUUAAGUUUGAAAGAUGCAAUUGCAUCACUCAAAGAUGAUCCCGCGUUGUAUUAGCUAGUUGGUGAGGUAAAGGCUCACCAAGGCGAUGAUACAUAGCCGACCUGAGAGGGUGAUCGGCCACAUUAGGACUGAGACGCGGCCCAAACUCCUACGGGAGGCAGCAGUAGGGAAUCUUCGGCAAUGGACGAAAGUCUGACCGAGCAACGCCGCGUGAGUGAAGAAGGUUUUCGGAUCGUAAAACUCUGUUGGUAGAGAAGAACGUUGGUGAGAGUGGAAAGCUCAUCAAGUGACGGUAACUACCCAGAAAGGGACGGCUAACUACGUG